rnacentral:lncRNA from 1 species
GAAACUCCUCAAAAACUGCAGACAAAAAAAUAUGAUCAAUCAAGCUUUGUUGAUAGUACUCCUCAGGUUAAUUUAUUUAAG